rnacentral:misc_RNA from 1 species
GAUGAAGAACGUAGCGAAAUGCGAUAAGUAAUGUGAAUUGCAGAAUUCAGUGAAUAAUCGAAUCUUUGAACGCACCUUGCGCUCCUUGGUAUUCCGAGGAGCAUGCCUGUUUGAGUGUCAUGAAAUUCUAAACCUUUUCAGCUUUCUUUGUUGAUCAGGCUUGGAUGUGGGAGUAUGCGGGCUUCUCAGAAGUCGGCUCUCCUGAAAUGCAUUAGCGGGACCUUUGUUGCCUGGCUUUGGUGUGAUAAUUAUCUACGCCAUUGUAGUCAAGCAGCUUAAAAUGAGGUUUCAGCUUCUAACCGUCUCCCCUGAGACAACUUUUUGACAAUUUGACCUCAAAUCAGGUAGGACUACCCGCUGAACUUAAGCAUAUCAAUAAGCGGAGGA